GAACGCUAGCUACAGGCUUAACACAUGCAAGUCGAGGGCAUCGGGAAGAAAGCUUGCUUCUUGCCGGCGACCGGCGCACGGGUGAGUAACGCGUAUCCAACCUUCCCCUUAGUAGCGGAUAGCCCGGCGAAAGUCGGAUUAAUACGCUAUGUUAUCCGAAGAGGACAUCUGAAUUGGAUUAAAGAUUCAUCGCUAAGGGAUGGGGAUGCGUCUGAUUAGGUAGUCGGCGGGGUAACGGCCCACCGAGCCUGCGAUCAGUAGGGGUUCUGAGAGGAAGGUCCCCCACAUUGGAACUGAGACACGGUCCAAACUCCUACGGGAGGCAGCAGUGAGGAAUAUUGGUCAAUGGGCGAGAGCCUGAACCAGCCAAGUAGCGUGCAAGGAUGACGGCCCUAUGGGUUGUAAACUGCUUUUAUAUGGGGAUAAAGUGGGCCACGUGUGGCUUUUUGUAGGUACCAUAUGAAUAAGGACCGGCUAAUUCCGUGCCAGCAGCUGC
rnacentral:rRNA from 1 species